UUAUGUUAUUGGCAGGGGAGAUGCACAAAGGUGGUUUCCCAGAGCAAGGCUCAUCCUUUGUACUCCAGUGUUGAUCCCCUGUCAUUUCCCCAAAUGCAGAAAACUCACCUGCAUAAUCUGUAGCAGUUGGGACUGUGUUCCUGUGUUUCCCAU
rnacentral:snRNA from 11 species